ensembl:lncRNA
UAGAGUUCAUGCUGUGGGUUUUACUUUGACCUUACUACAUCGGUCCAUUUUCUACUGAGUGUGAAAAGUCCCAUUUUACUUUUCCCAGGUUACCACUUCUAUAACUGAGCAGGCAGUGAGAAGCUGGGCAGUGUAGAAUAAACACAUAUAUUCAUCCUGGAAAAAUUUUAAAAGAUAAAAUACAUCAAAAAGGCUGGAAAACAGCAAAUUAGAACAACAUAAAGUGUGCAUGAGCCUGGUUUGUUCAUGCAGAACACUAUAAAAAACACACAGCAAAGAUGCAGAAGUUGAAAAUAUUUUUAUAGUGUAAAAUAAAAUUCUUCCAAAAGAAAUGUAUGCCACACGGUCACACUGACUCUCCCUGUCUCAAAGAGAGCAGACAUGGCAAAGUUUUUUUUUCUGUUUUUUUUUUCUUUUCUUUCUUUCUUUCUCUCUUUCUUUUUUUUUCACCAAAAGUGAGUCAUUGUGGUCUUCCAAAAGCAUUCCUCUGUUGCCCUCCAUUUCCUGAAUUCCUUUUUUCGAAGAGUUUUGGAGCAGUUAAAAGCAGCUGAAUCCUAUUUUUUGGCCUAAAUUAUUUCAUUAUGGGAAACGUUGUUUUUGUUUUAUUUUCACACAGUUUGUUCCUUUAGGAAACCAGGAACAAACAGUUUCAUAUCAACUUGCACUAUUGCUAUUGCUUCUUCAUAGUAGUGCAAGUUGAUGGGAACCCUGCAGCAGGCAUCUGCCUUUACUUAAUGAAUCAGAUUCAAUUUUAUUUACUCCAAGUGGGGCUGUUGCUUUCAAACAAAACAUUGUGCAAUAUUAAAAGCAGAAGGUUUUAGGUACUCCUGCCUUGAAUUAUAUGAUCUUAAGUCUUUCUCAUGUUUAGAGAAACUAACAAGCAUUAGUAGAUGUAUACUGAAGAAUUAUUAAAGGAAAUGACAGCUGUUAUAGCUAAAACAUUCACUUGAACUCUGAUGCCUCAGCUCUCUAUGUUACUCAUUUGCCACAGUGACCUUAAGGGUCUGGCCAUGAGCCCUAGGGUUCUACCUCCAGAAGAUAAAAUACGCCACACAUUCAUUGCUAUGAUUAAGUUACAGCUACUAAGAUGACCUUAAAUGCCAUCAGGAAAAGAUCAACAAAUAAAAAUAAUUCAGAUCAUGCCAAUUGCCCUUAUACACCCAUAGAUAGCAUUUGUUUCUCUAGAAAUGGCCUUUAAAUAAAGCACUAUACUAAAACUGAUACACUGAACUUCAGUUAUACGCAUGGUUGCA